rnacentral:rRNA from 1 species
CUACGGGAGGCAGCAGUGGGGAAUAUUGCACAAUGGAGGAAACUCUGAUGCAGCGACGCCGCGUGAGGGAAGAAGGUCUUCGGAUUGUAAACCUCUGUCUUCAGGGACGAUAAUGACGGUACCUGAGGAGGAAGCACCGGCUAACUACGUGCCAGCAGCCGCGGUAAAACGUAGGGUGCAAGCGUUGUCCGGAAUUACUGGGUGUAAAGGGAGCGCAGGCGGGAAGGUAAGUUGGAUGUUUAAUCUACGGGCUCAACCCGUAUCAGCAUUCAAAACUAUUUUUCUUGAGUGGUGCAGAGGUAGGCGGAAUUCCCGGUGUAGCGGUGGAAUGCGUAGAUAUCGGGAGGAACACCAGUGGCGAAGGCGGCCUGCUGGGCACUAACUGACGCUGAGGCUCGAAAGCAUGGGUAGCAAACAGGAUUAGAAACCCGGGUAGUCC